UACGGGGGGAGCAAGCGUUGUUCGGAUUUACUGGGCGUAAAGGGCGCGUAGGCGGCCACCGCAAGUCGACUGUGAAAUCUCCGGGCUUAACCCGGAAAGGUCAGCCGAUACUGCGGGGCUAGAGUGCAGAAGGGGCAACUGGAAUUCUCGGUGUAGCGGUGAAAUGCGUAGAUAUCGAGAGGAACACCUGCGGCGAAGGCGGGUUGCUGGGCUGACACUGACGCUGAGGCGCGAAAGUGUGGGGAUCAAACAGG
rnacentral:rRNA from 1 species